GGUUAAGUUAGAAAGGGCGCACGGUGGAUGCCUUGGCACUAGGAGCCGAAGAAGGACGGGACUAACACCGAUAUGCUUUGGGGAGCUGUACGUAAGCGUUGAUCCAGAGAUUUCCGAAUGGGGGAACCCACUAUCUUUAGUCGGAUAGUAUCCUUACGUGAAUACAUAGCGUGAGGAAGGCAGACCCAGGGAACUGAAACAUCUAAGUACCUGGAGGA
rnacentral:rRNA from 1 species